rnacentral:rRNA from 1 species
GGGUCAGUAGGUUGGUCGUGCUACCGGUACGUACUGGUCUCACUGAUUCCUCCUUCCUGAAGAACCGUAAUGCCAUUAAUUUGGUGUUGCGGGGAAACAGGACUGUUACUUUGAAAAAAUUAGAGUGUUUAAAGCAAGCUAACGCUUGAAUACAUUAGCAUGGAAUAAUGAAGUAGGACGAUCGAUCCUAUUUUGUCGGUUUCUAGGAUUGACGUA